rnacentral:rRNA from 1 species
UACGUAGGGGGCAAGCGUUGUCCGGAAUCAUUGGGCGUAAAGAGCGUGUAGGCGGCCCGGUAAGUCCGCUGUGAAAGUCCAGGGCUCAACCCUGGGAUGCCGGUGGAUACUGUCGGGCUCGAGUCCGGAAGAGGAGUGUGGAAUUCCUGGUGUAGCGGUGAAAUGCGCAGAUAUCAGGAGGAACACCAAUGGCGAAAGCGGCUCUCUGGAACGGUACUGACGCUGAGACGCGAAAGCGUGGGGAGCGAACAGG